AGCAAAGGACCAGCAGAAACGCCACCCAUAGUUAGCAUUCGUGCAUCAUUGGCUAGGUAAUCUCCCCAAUCUAUGUCAAAUUCUUUGCUCCCGUUGCACCUACCAAAAAUUGGCAGAAACGGCAGUCAAGAACCAACACCAACGACUACUGCUAUACUAUGACAAGGAAUUUCAUUCCGAACAAAGAACCACCAACAAAAUAUUAUUCAGAUACUUACAAGGAGAGAUGAUUUGGGGCUGCAGUCAUGCUUGCCAUCGGGUGAGCUUCCUCCAUCUGAUUGGAAAGGAGAGUCGGGGAUGCACGAAGCAGGUCCUGGAUGCCCCCAAGCUGCAGCCUGUCCGCUGCCGCCAUGUUUAUUGCCUUCAGCCGCCGAGGGGAAGGAGGUUUGG
rnacentral:lncRNA from 1 species